AUUGAACGCUGGCGGCAUGCUUUACACAUGCAAGUCGAACGGUAACAGGCCGCAAGGUGCUGACGAGUGGCGAACGGGUGAGUAAUGCAUCGGAACGUGCCCAGUCGUGGGGGAUAACUGCUCGAAAGAGCAGCUAAUACCGCAUACGAUCUAUGGAUGAAAGCGGGGGCCCGUAAGGCCUCGCGCGAUUGGAGCGGCCGAUGUCAGAUUAGGUAGUUGGAUGGGUAACGGCUCACCAAGCCACCGAUCUGUAGCUGGUCGGAGAGGACGUCCAGCCACACUGGGACUGAGACACGGCCCACACUCCUACGGGAGGGAGCAGUGGGGAAUUUUGGACAAUGGGGGCAACCCUGAUCCAGCAAUGCCGCGUGCAGGAAGAAGGCCUUCGGGUUGUAAACUGCUUUUGUACGGAACGAAACGUUCUGGGUUAAUACCCUGGGCUAAUGACGGUACCGUAAGAAUAAGCACCGGCUAACUACGUGCCAGCAGCCGCCGUAACAC
rnacentral:rRNA from 1 species